UUUCCCGCUAAGAAGCUUCUAGACACACGCGAAUUGUAUGCUUGGAAGCCUUGACGCCGGCCCUAGCUCGUUUUCCCUCAUUGCAUUCAAGCCGCGCCAAAUUCUUCUCCAGCAGCAGCAGCAGCAGCAGCUGAACCGUUCGGCUUCGACACCAAUGGCCCAGUUGAAGCCCGAAGACGAGUCUGUUUUGAUCUUCUCCGUCGCGCUCUGGCUCCAGAACAAGGGCUUUUCCAAAGUCUUCAAACGAUUCUGCGCCGAAGCUGAGAUUGAGGGCGAGGAUUGGAAGGGGAAGGCGCUUAAUUUGAAUGAUGUUUUCUCCAAAUAUCUGGAGAUUAGCAAUAAUGCCUGCAAAGUCUUUAAGUUUGAGGCGAAGCAAGAAGAGCAGGUAGUUGAUGCGGAAGAAAAGACUGCAAAUGGUACAGCUGCUGAGGAAAUUAAAGGCAAGAAGAAGAAGAAAAAGAGCAAGGAUGGCACUUCAGUCAAUGGAAGUGGAAAAACACUUGAAGAUAAAGUCAUGACAGAAAAGAUAAAUGAAUCACAUGAGAAUGGCAAUGAGGAAGAAAGUGGCAAGACAUCAAAGGCAUCGAAUGGUGACAAAGUGCCUGAAUUAGAGGAGGAUCAGUUGACUAAGAAACCGAAAGAAAAGAAGAAGAAGAAAAGCAAGUUGGCAUCAAAGCCGGAUGCUGAGGUACCAGAACAGAAGCAAGAAGUUUUAUCAUCUGAAAAGGCUGAGGCUGCAGAAGAUGUGAUUGAUGAAUCUAAGAAGGCAUCCAAGAAAAGAAAAAGAAUGGGUCUAGGCGAAACUGAAAAUAAAUCUGAUGAGGAAGUAACAAUUGAAGAGUCAAAGUCUAAAAAGUCCAAAGGUCUUGAAGAAGGCAAAGAUGAACAAGCAAAAAGUGAAGCUACUGAAGAGGAUUUGCCAAAAUUCUCUGCUAACAACAAUGAAAUGGACAAAUCAAGUCAGAAAAAAUCUGCAAGCAAACAACCCAAAAGUUCUGAGCCAACAUCAGUGAAAGCAUUCCAAAGAGUGAAGAUUGAUGAGGUGGAAUUUGUUGAUGACAGACUUCAAGAUAAUUCUUAUUGGGCAAAGGAUGGUGCCGAAACUGGUUAUGGUGCUAAAGCACAAGAAGUCUUGGGACAAGUCAAAGGAAGGGGCUUCCGUCACGAGAAAACCAAGAAGAAGCGCGGGAGCUACAGGGGAGGACAAAUCGACCUGCAGUCGCACUCGGUGAAGUUCAAUUAUUCUGAUGAAGAAUGAAACAUGCAUGUGAGGUUAUGAACUCAGUAGUCCAUUUUUGAUCCCACAAUUGGGAAGUCAGUUUUGGUGGUGUCCUAUAUUAUCAAUGGUGUUCAAGGACAGGAAAGUGAUGUUGAUUUUCACCAACCACAUCUUUUUUGGGCCAAAAAAACUCUGGCAAAUAAGGGAGAGUAAUUUGCAAAGCCUUGAUUAGUUCUUUUUAUUCAAUUAUAUUAAGGAGAAAUGAGCUGUUUGGCCUUUGUGUAAUUUGUAAAAUCAACAAUGCACGUAACAAUUUCUAAAGUAUUAACCUUAUAAAA